rnacentral:rRNA from 1 species
UACGUAGGUGGCAAGCGUUGUCCGGAUUUACUGGGCGUAAAGAGCGCGCAGGCGGUCGUUCAAGUCGCGUGUGAAAGCCCCCGGCUCAACUGGGGAGGGUCACGCGAUACUGAUCGACUCGAAGGCAGGAGAGGGUAGUGGAAUUCCCGGUGUAGUGGUGAAAUGCGUAGAUAUCGGGAGGAACACCAGUGGCGAAGGCAGGUCUCUGGGCCGAUACUGACGCUGAGGAGCGAAAGCGUGGGGAGCGAACAGG